UGUAAACAUCCUACACUCAGCC
rnacentral:ncRNA from 3 species